rnacentral:rRNA from 1 species
UACGUAGGGGGCGAGCGUUGUCCGGAAUUAUUGGGCGUAAAGAGCUCGUAGGCGGUUCGGCAAGUCACGUGUGAAAUCUCCACGCUCAACGUGGAGGCGCCACGUGAGACUGCUGUGACUCGAGUCCGGUAGGGGAGCGUGGAAUUCCCGGUGUAGCGGUGAAAUGCGCAGAGAUCGGGAGGAACACCCGUAGCGAAGGCGGCGCUCUGGGCCGGUACUGACGCUGAGGAGCGAAAGCGUGGGGAGCGAACCGG